rnacentral:rRNA from 1 species
UGGGGAAUAUUGGGCAAUGGGCGGAAGCCUGACCCAGCAACGCCGCGUGAGGGAAGAAGGUUUUCGGAUUGUAAACCUCUGUUCUUGGGGAAGAGGAGGAGACGGUACCCAAGGAGGAAGCCCCGGCUAACUACGUGCCAGCAGCCGCGGUAAUACGUAGGGGGCGAGCGUUGUCCGGAAUGAUUGGGCGUAAAGGGCGCGCAGGCGGCCUGUCAAGUCAGUAGUGGAAGUCCAUUUUUCAAGGAUGGAAGUGCUAUAGAAACUGAUGGGCUUGAGUGCAGGAGAGGUUAUCGGAAUUCCCGGUGUAGCGGUGAAAUGCGUAGAGAUCGGGAGGAACACCGAGUGGCGAAGGCGGGUAACUGGACUGCAACUGACGCUGAGGCGCGAAAGUGUGGGGAGC